GAUGAACGCUGGCGGCGUGCCUAAUGCAUGCAAGUCGAGCGAAAGGACGAGUAGCUUGCCUCUCUGAUGUUAGCGGCGGACGGGUGAGUAACACGUGGAUCACCUACCUAUAAGUCAGGGAUAACUUCGGGAAACCGGAGCUCAUACCGGAUGAUAUUUUGAACCGCAUGGUUCCAAAGUGAAAGACGGUCUUGCUGUCACUUAUAGAUGGAUCCGCGCUGCAUUAGCUAGUUGGUAAGGUAACGGCUUACCAAGGCAACGAUGCAUAGCCGACCUGAGAGGGUGAUCAGCCACACUGGGACUGAGACACGGUCCAGACUCCUACGGGAGGCAGCAGUAGGGAAUCUUCCGCAAUGGGCGAAAGCCUGACGGAGCAACGCCGCGUGAGUGAUGAAGGUCUUCGGAUCGUAAAACUCUGUUAUUAGGGAAGAACAGAUGUGUAAGUAACUGUGCACAUCUUGACGGUACCUAAACAGAAAGCCACGGCUAACUACGUG
rnacentral:rRNA from 1 species